rnacentral:tRNA from 1 species
GCCUUUGUGGCGGAACAGGUAGACGCAGCGGACUUAAAAUCCGUUGGCCGCAAGGCCGUCCCGGUUCGACUCCGGGCAAAGGCACCA